UCGGGGAGCUAUUUACAAACCUCUGCUGAGAUGCUGUUCUGGCGGCCCCUAGUGUCAGUCUCGUUGCCAUUACAGUCCUUUCAGAGCGGUUAUCUGCCUGCUACCAUCGCUUCUUAUCGAGGGAGGAGGCGAGGCCUGAAGGACAGGCGCAUUGUUGUGCAACGUUGCAAUUUUAGUAACGUUAUCUUCGAACAAUGAGGUUGAAAUGUCCACUGUUAGAUCAGAGCAAAAGAGCCAAAACUUCAUCAAGGGAGGAGAUGGAGAAGAAUUAGCCUCCUGAAGAUGCUUGAUCAUUUUUCUUACAGGUGAGUGGAGUUGCUAUGGGCACCAGGCUGGGACCGGGCUCUGCUGAUGUUUUUGAUGACGGGGGAACGCUUUCAGCAGCCUCAUGUACUGCAGCUCUUGUCCAGCUCUUCACAUCGGUGAGACGGGAGGGUAGGCCAUGUCAGGGAACUAGUCAGAGCUGUGAGGAUCCAAGAUCUCUCCACGCCCAUAGUUCCCCAUUUCACCUCUAACGGCCAUGAUCACACUGAUCUCUCCGCCUGCGUCCUCACAGAGGGGUUUCAGAGCUCCUACUGGAGAAAGACAUCUGAAAUCACAUGGGAUAAGAUCACAUCUUCUCUCAACGGCAGACUCGUCUCCUUCUAAUCCUCCCUGUUCAUUUGCAGGUUCUCUGCUUCACAACUCUCCGGUUCUCCCUGAGUGUCGAUACCCUUUCUCCCCUGCUCCUGCCCUGUCUUUUGUUCUCCCAUGUGUUAUUAUCUGCCAGAUUCCCUCUCUCCCUCACACCUGAAGAAGGCUCCACCGCCGAAACCUGGUGUCUCUCUGUUUCCCUGUUUCUUUGCAGCCGACGCAUGCCGACACGGGUCCCUGCUCAUACUGAAGCUAAUGCUACAGCAUUAACCGGUGGAAAAGCACCAGUUUAAAGUCUCAUUCGAAGGACAGAAGCUCUUGCACAGUGUUCUUGCUCUUCACAGUGUUCCCUGUCACCGCACUGGGCCAGUGGGAAGAGUGCCCCCCUACAGGUCCCCCACUUUCACCGGCCGUCGGGACUUCGUUAGAGGUCUCCCACCCCAGGACUGAACAGGCUGCUGACUAGAUCCGGCUGUGAGGCGGUGUUGCUGUUGCAAGUCAGGGCUUGGGGACUGCUUCUGUGAACAGCUACUGUAUAUUGCACUGUGUAUUGUAAGUUUGAAGACAGCAAGGCAGUUAAAAAACAAACUGAAAGAGCAGCCGGAGCCCAGGGAAGAGGAAGAGGUUGUCUCCGUCCAGCGGCUCUCCUCUCUUCCGUCAAGGCCCGAGUUACUAACCGUCUCCUCCUCCAGCCAGCAGGCAGAAUACAGGUGCAGUUUCUCCCCCCCUUGCCUUGAGCUGCGCAACACUGCCAGUGUUACUUGAGCUCAGGAAUAAAGAAAUAAAGUGCUGGGUGAAUAUUUACAUGUUCUCACCAGCAAUUCUGCAGUUAUUAAAAAAAGCAGAGAGUAACACAACAACACCUCUCAGCACAGAC